GCGGGAAGGACUUUCAUCAACAUCGAACACUCCAGCCCCGUCUCCUUUUCCCACCCGCCGCGGGUCAGGCACACACCUGGCCCCCAGGCCUGCAGACCCUCGCACAAACUCCUCACUCCUGGUGCGGCCCCUCCCUGCGCCGCCCUGUUCAUUCCUGGCCCUGGCUAACAGUCCUGGCGAUGGCUGUCACUCCCUCUGCCAGUCGUCCGGGACCCAUGCUCCGCCUGCCUCAGGAUGGAAAUUGUUAGAGGACUACAGUAUUGACGAGGAGGCCGCCUUCCAGGCUGCUCUGGCCCUGUCUCUCUCUGAGAACUGAAGGGAAGCGCAGCCACCCGCCUGCGUCUGGGUCAGGGAUGUCCCCGCUCCUGUGUCGCACCUGGCACCUGCUCGGGAGCGCACCUCACCGGACCAGGAGGAGCCUGCACCCGCACAGGAGGGGAGCCGGGGCCGAGCCUCCGGGCCUGAAUACGGGCCAGCCGCCGAGGCCGCCAGAGCAGGGCCGCCUGGUCCCACCGGCGUCGCUGGGUUCUUCGGUGCUUCUGGCCGAGCAGGCGGCCUACUUGGGCAGGGCUGGACGCU
rnacentral:sRNA from 1 species